UGAGCUCUUCCACCGUACCAGUGGCCCUGGCCAUGCUCUAGACUGGUGUGGGGCCCGAGUGUUGGUAUGUUGCCAAUGCCCCCCUGGAGGAAGGUAGAGAAGAGCCAGGGUGGAGAAGCACUGGUAAGAGAGAUGUCCUCUCAUGGAACGGUUCGGUGAGCCUCACAAAUCCAAGGCCAGCAGUAUUCAGGCCUGAUUGCCCCUGAUCCCUCUGCCAAGGCACCCUGCACCGCCCUCCUGGCAUGUGAGCCUGAGGCUACAAGGGCACCGCCUCCACAUACCCUCCCGUUGAGGAUUCGAGUGUCAACAUAGGCGUCUGGGGAGGACCCAAGCAGUCAGUCCCCAGCAACAAGAGAGAGGUCAGGAAGUAGGAGGAAUGACUGAGGGGGACAUCAGCGGGCAUCCUAAGGCACAGCGGAGAAAAAAGAAGGAAUGAAUGAUUUUGAGAUGGUGAGGGGCAACACAGCCAAACCAAAGAGCCGCAGCUGACCGACUGCGACCGUGGCCACCGGGCUCUGUCCCUGCUCCGCCAGCAGACCAGCGAGGCGAGCCCCGUGAAGCAGAGUGAACGUUUCUAUCACCGUUUCCAAGGGCACAAUACCUUUAGUCAGCCUUACCUUUGUAAGAUCCACUUAACGUUUGUUUGCUCAAUAAAAGGCCAUAAAUUGUUUUCCCAAAUGGCCAAAGGAUGAUGCUGAAAACGAGUGCUGUUUCUAAAAAGCGGAUUUUGUUCACGGAGAAACCCCUCGAACCCUUCAAGCUCGUCUCCAGUGCGGCUGCACCAGGCCUCGCCUUUGAGCGCAGUUGGCAGAAACCUAUUCUGGCCUUGGAGG